CAUCGCGCCGUGGCGGAAGUGUGACAGGUUGGAUUAAGAAUGUACAGCUCAAGUCAGGUUCGGACAGAGAGUUAAUUGGAUUUCAGUUGAGAUGAUAGCCUCAUCCGAUAUAUAUAUAUAUAUAUAUGGGGCAUCGAAACUUGCAUAACAAAUCAAUCCCUUCUGCUCGACGCUGGUUCUUCUUUCCGUGACUUCACCAGCGAUGAACGGGCUUCAGAAUCUUCCAACAUCCUCCGCUUCGCCUUCACCAACCCUCUUCGAGAAGGCCUCCGAUCUUGAGUUUGGGGGUGACACGAGCUCGUCAUCUUCGUCGAAAUAGGAGCUCCCUCGGUUCUCGUUUCUAUCUGGCGUCUACAUUUGAUCCAAGCGCGGUACUUCUGAGAAUGUGUAGUUUCAUAUCUGUCAUCUUGAUCUAAACAUUCAUUCGGUCAAGAUUCGAUUUAGGGUUGUCCUGAGGAUGCCGAUGCUAAAAAUCUCCCAUCAGUUUCUAGCCAAGUUUGUUUUCGAUAUGGGCUAUCGGUUUUUUUGGCUUCGUUAUUUUCUAUUGGUAUUUUUUGUCUUCUAGUGUCUGGCUUGGGGUCUUUUGUUUGUGGGGGUGACAUGAACUCAUUGCCAUUGUUGUGAGUGGCUUUCUUGGUUAUCGCUUUUCCUUGUUGACUUCUGUAAUUGAUCUAGACGGGGAACUUCUUGAGAAACCCGAGUUGCAUAUA